rfam:TPA: Bos taurus chromosome 8, whole genome shotgun sequence.
UCCCUGGUAGCUCAGUCAGUAAAGAACCUGCCUGUAGUGCAGGAAACCCAGGUUCGAUCCCUGGGUGGGGAA